rnacentral:lncRNA from 1 species
UCCAUUUUUUUUUCAUGUGAUGAGGCAAUAACAGGCAGCAGUUCAGAGGUGAAACUAUAUAAAAAAAAGUCUCUAGCAAAAAGAGACUAUAAGAGUGUCCAGAGAAGUGUGCUGUUAAGCUCAAUGUUUAUUUUGGGUGAUGGCAGCUCUUGUAACAUGCUUGGUCUAUGUCUAUGAGAUCAUGCCAAAGGUAAAUACGCCUUAGGACGACUCACAAAGGUCCUUUUCUCUAGGUCCAUAGGCACUUUUCAGAGUGACCAUUUAACGUAUACCUAGUUAAGAGACACCUCUGAUCUCAACGACUAUUACAUCCUGGGCUUGACUUCCAGCUCAGUGUGCUAGGAGAGGAGAACUCCACUCCAACAGAAGUGUCAAAAGGACUAGGCUACUAAACAAAGGGCGAAGGGGGUGCGGAGGGGCGACACCCGCGGGCCAGCGGUAACCCAGGCACCCGCAGAGGAAGAAGACCAAGAUGCUAGCGAGGACACCUGCGCAUGCAGGGCAGUGCCUGAGGCCUCUUCUCCAGGUGUCCCCCAAGGCCCUCAGCUCCGGCCUUCCCGGUUAAGAAGCCGUUUGCCGCUCAUCGCCGCCAGCCGCCCAACCGAGCGAAGCCCGUCAGCAUCCCUGACUCGGUCCCUCAGGCAGGGCGGACCUUGUCCGCCGCCCGCCCGCCCGCCCGCCCCGCCCCGCCCCAUCCCCGCGCCAGCCUCCCCUCUCGCCAGCCUAGAGAGUACUCACGGCGACCCCGGGCCGCGCGCGGCCGC